GCGCAGCAGGCGAGAAAACUUCACACUGUGCGAAAGCACGAUGAGGGAACCCCAAGUGCUUGCACGUAAGUGUAAGCUGUUUCUCUGUCUAAAACGCAGAGAGAGUAAGGGCUGGGUAAGACGGGUGCCAGCCGCCGCGGUAAUACCUGCAGCUCAAGUGGUGACCGUUAUUAUUGGGCCUAAAACGUCCGUAGCCGGUUUAAUAAAUGCCUGGGUAAAUUGUGUAGCUUAACUAUACGAAUUCCGGGUAGACUGUUAAACUUGAGACCGGGAGAAGUUAGAGGUACUCCUGAGGUAGAGGUGAAAUUCUGUAAUCCUAGGGGGACCACCAGUGGCGAAGGCGUCUAACUAGAACGGGUCUGACGGUGAGGGACGAAGCCCUGGGGCGCAAACGGGAUUAGAUACCCGGUAGU
rnacentral:rRNA from 1 species